GGAAGCGGUGGAAGAGACGAAAUCACAUAACACCUCCGGCGGUCUCUCUCCGGCGAUCUCACAGAACACCUCCGGCGGUCUCACAGAACACACGAACACACACCCAUAGCAAUACCUACAUCAUUUCCCAGAUCUAGCAAAAUCUCUUUCUCCCACUUUCAUAAAUCAAAAUAAAAAAUCAACUCCAAUAGACAAAAUCAUAAUUCAAUAAUCCUAACUUCAAAAUCAAAAUCAUAAAAUUGAGCUCGCGGUGGAAGGCGGCGCAUUGGGAGGCGCGAAGCGGUGGAAGGCGGAAGGCGGCGCAGAUCUGAGCAGAUCCCUAACUUAUUUGAGCAGAUCUGCCCGCGGUGGAAGGCGGCGCAGGAGGAGGCGCGAAGCGGCGGUGGCGUUGGAGUCGGUGAAGACGGAAGCGCGAGGCGGCGCGAUUUGCGUUAGCGGCGGAGACGCGGGCGGAGCAUGAGGUGUUGGAGGCGGUGAAGACGGAAGCGCGAGGCGGCGCGAUUUGCGUUGGCGGCAGAGACGCGAGGCGGAGCAGGAGGUGUUGGAGGCGGUGAAGACGGAAGCGCGAGGCGGCGCGAUUUGCGUUGGCGGCGGAGACGCGAGGCGGAGCAGGAGGUGUUGGAGGCGGUGGAAGGUGGAGGGGUGAGAGGAACGGUGGCGAGGAGGUGUUGGAGCCCGGCGCAGUGGUGGCGGUGAGAGGAGGGAAGCGGUGGAAGAGGAUGGUGGGUGGGGUUGAGACGAGAGAGAGAUAGAUAGAGAGAGAGAGAGAAGCAGGUGGGUUGGUUGGUGGGGGAGGAGAGAGACUUUAAUUAAAUGCUUAAUUGAGUCCUAAUUAAUGCCAAAAAAGGAAAGGGGACUUGUUACAUGGGACGGCCCAAAAAGGAAUACGGGACUUGAAU
rnacentral:lncRNA from 1 species